GGCCGCGAGUAGAGUGGCAAACGGGUGAGUAACACGUGGGCGACCUGCCCUCGAGUGGGGGAUAACGUCUCGAAAGGGACGCUAAUACCGCAUGAUAUCCCGCCUUUGAAGAGGUGGAGAUCGAAGCCGGGGACCGCAAGGCCUGGCGCUCGAGGAGGGACCCGCGCCCGAUUAGCUAGUUGGUGAGGUAACGGCCCACCAAGGCGAUGAUCGGUAGCCGGCCUGAGAGGGCGGACGGCCACACUGGGACUGAGACACGGCCCAGACUCCUACGGGAGGCAGCAGUGGGGAAUUGUUCGCAAUGGGCGCAAGCCUGACGACGCAACGCCGCGUGGAGAACGAAGAUCUUCGGAUCGUAAACUCCUGUCGAGCGGGACGAACGGUCCCGGACCUAACAGGUCCGGGGAGUGACGGUACCGCGAGAGGAAGCCCCGGCUAACUCCGUGCCAGCAGCCGCGGUAAUACGGGGGGGGCAAGCGUUGUUCGGAAUUACUGGGCGUAAAGGGCUCGUAGGCGGCCCCUUUAGUCGGACGUGAAAUCCCUCGGCUCAACCGGGGAACUGCGUCCGAUACUGGGGGGCUCGAAUCCGGGAGAGGGAUGCGGAAUUCCAGGUGUAGCGGUGAAAUGCGUAGAUAUCUGGAGGAACACCGGUGGCGAAGGCGGCAUCCUGGACCGGUAUUGACGCUGAGUGAGCGAAAGCCAGGGGAGCAAACGGGAUUAG
rnacentral:rRNA from 1 species